UGCCUUCACGAAUGCAGAAUGAGAUGGAGGU
rnacentral:piRNA from 1 species